UACGGAGGAUGCGAGCGUUAUCCGGAUUCAUUGGGUUUAAAGGGUGCGUAGGCGGGCUUUUAAGUCAGCGGUAAAAAUUCGGGGCUCAACCCCGUCCGGCCGUUGAAACUGGGGGUCUUGAGUGGGCGAGAAGAAGGCGGAAUGCGUGGUGUAGCGGUGAAAUGCAUAGAUAUCACGCAGAACCCCGAUUGCGAAGGCAGCCUUCCGGCGCCCUACUGACGCUGAGGCACGAAAGUGCGGGGAUCGAACAGG
rnacentral:rRNA from 1 species